UCCGGUUUAACACCGGCAGUCUCCUUAGAGUGCCCAACUGAAUGGUGGCAACUAAGGACAAGGGUUGCGCUCGUUAAGGGACUUAACCCGACAUCUCACGAUACGAGCUGACGACAGCCAUGCAGCACCUGUCUCUCUGUCCCUUGCGGGAAAGCCCUAUCUCUAGGGAUGUCAGAGGAUGUCAAAUCCAGGUAAGGUUUUUCGCGUUGCAUCGAAUUAAACCACAUGCUCCACCGCUUGUGCGGGCCCCCGUCAAUUCCUUUGAGUUUUAAUCUUGCGACCGUACUUCCCAGGCGGGGUACUUAAUGCGUUAGCUUCGACACUGUAGGGGUCAAUUCCCACAACAUCUAGUACCCAUCGUUUACGGCGUGGACUAC
rnacentral:misc_RNA from 1 species